rnacentral:lncRNA from 13 species
GGAGGUUCUGCUCCAUGAAGCGGUUCACGGGCCCAGGUUAGCAUCCACCCCACCAGCCUAGCAUACAGCUCCCCUCUGUCUAAGACAGUGGUUCCAGCCACUGGGAAGUAUGGGGCAAGUGGCUCGACUUCAGGAAACUGACAGCACUUCUGCACAUAUGUCAUAGGGCUGAGUUCAUUACACAGCCACACCUAGCUGCAUGGAGGGAGGCUGGGAAAUACAGGCUUGCUGUGUGCUGAAUUCCCCCUUCCAGAUUCGUAUGUUGAAGUCCUGACCCCAGCACCUCAGAACAUAUUUGGAGACGGGAUCCUUAAAGAGGUGAUUUAGGUUCACAGAUAAGGCAGCAGAAAUCCAUAUCUAACAGCAGCCAACAUGAUUGUAAUAUCAAAGCACGGAUGAACGUAGAUGAUACUCUGAGACAUCUGUGACAGCUUUACACCAGGAUGAGCUGGAGCAGAGAAGCUGGCCCCAGUACAAAUCUUUUUGGAUCCUGGAACACUGACCGUCAGUGCCUUUGGCAGCAGAUGAAUUUCCAGUCUCGUCUUACGGUCUUGAAGACUCUGACCACUCUCAGACCACCAGCACGGCCAGUACCCAGGCUCUGCAUGCCAUUGGCUCUGGGGAGACAAGAAAUAACCUGGCAUUUCAGCAAGGAUCGGAAGGUGCCACUGAGAAAGGAAAUCGAAUGACUAGGACAUAGCAUUGAAACGUUUGUCAGGGCAGAUCGGGGAAAGCCUCAAUGCCAAUCAGGAAGCAACUAGAUAAAGAAACAAUAGAUCAGCAACUCAGAGCCCUAAGAAUGUCUCUGAGACUGACAGGGAGAAAAGUCCAGGAAACAUCAUUUUGUGAUAAAAAGCAAGCUGCAGAAUAAGAUGCGCGGUGGGAGAUGAUUUACGUGAAGAGAUACACACACAGCACAAAACCUUCUAUUUCCACGUUAUUCAAUGCACGACAAGGCUAGCAAGAGGUCCGGAAGGAGACGCCCAAAACUGACAAAGGGGUGUCCUCCAGGGGAAGGCCAGGAACAAAGUGGGAGCCUUGGCCUAGGGCAACGGUGGAGCGUGUGGUAAAGAAGUUCAUUUGAUUGAUCUGUAGUGUUUGAAUCGCUUACAG